rnacentral:rRNA from 1 species
UGGGGAAUCUUGGACAAUGGGGGCAACCCUGAUCCAGCCAUGCCGCGUGAUCGAUGAAGGCCUUAGGGUUGUAAAGAUCUUUCAGCGAGGAAGAUAAUGACGGUACUCGCAGAAGAAGCCCCGGCUAACUCCGUGCCAGCAGCCGCGGUAAUACGGAGGGGGCUAGCGUUGUUCGGAAUUACUGGGCGUAAAGCGCACGUAGGCGGAUAGUUAAGUUAGAGGUGAAAGCCCGGGGCUCAACCCCGGAACUGCCUUUGAUACUGGCUGUCUGGAGGUCGAGAGAGGUGAGUGGAAUUCCGAGUGUAGAGGUGAAAUUCGUAGAUAUUCGGAGGAACACCAGUGGCGAAGGCGGCUCACUGGCUCGAUACUGACGCUGAGGUGCGAAAGCGUGGGGAGCAAACA